GAAGAUAGUUAAUAUGUAUUAAAGCUAGGGUACAUCUACACAAAAAUUUCUUACAAAGAGCAAAGAAAAAUGAGCAGGCAGAAUGUGAUGGAAGAAAAUUACUUACACUCCAUAGUAGACGGAUGUUUGGGUUUAGUGAAAUAAUAUUUACCGAUAGGAACUUACCUCUGUAUACACAUAUAAGCUCUUUUACAAGAAGUUUAUUCAUUGUUUUUUUCACCAAGGAUUUUCCUGAUGCCUGUGGAUCAAAGCCCAAGAGCCGCGGUUCCCUUGUGCAGAUGGCAGAAUCCAUUUCACAUGAGCAGUGCGCUUUGGGAAAUCCCUGAAGCCAGGUGGAAAUGAGGAACACCCCUAGAAAAGAAUCACUGUCAACUCAAAGCAGCGUACAAAGACACAGAGCUCCCAGUGGCAGAGAUCCUUGCCAGCAGGGUUCCCAUCUGAACAGAAGAAUCCUUUGAAAGAUAUUUCACUUCUACAGAGUACUGCAAAUGCCCUAUACAUAAAACCUCAUGAGCCCUGGUUUUAUUUUGGACAGCAGUAGAAAAAAAGAGGGAUUUUUGUUUCUUUCUCCAGAAAGCGUAGCUGACUCACACAGGAGGCAGAUGGUCGCAGUGGUCAGACUCCCUGCUUUGUAACCAGCUCUUGGUUUUUGCAUGCUAAUGAUUUCUUGGUCCCAAAAAUAGCUUUACAGACAGGGUCAAUUAUAUUUUUGGAUUGUAUGGCGCGUAGAGCCAUCAGUUAGUUGCACAAGGCGAUUGGUUUAUAAUGCAGCACACCCCUUCUUCGUAAUUGGCACCUUUUUGAUAUCCCGUUUAUAAUGGCAGGGUCUAUCUUUACAAAUAGUGCCUUGUAUUAGCAUGCAAAUGCCCUGGCUCCCCUCAGAUAGUUUUACACACAGAGUCAAUUAUAUUUUUGCAUUGCACAAUGUGUAGACUAAUUAGCUAUCGCUAAAUGGGGCACUCGGUCUUCAGAUUUCAAGAUCUUUCUGCACUAAGUGAUUCUGAGGCACUUUCAAGGGCAGGCUGGACAGAUGGGGUUUAUGUGCAUUUCUGAAGCAUCUUUUAGAAUGGAUUCAAAUCCUGGAAUGGUUUUGGAAAGAAGAACCUACAGAGUAAAAUGUUUCCAUACUCUCAGCCAGUGCUGUUGUUGAGAUCUAAAUGGUGCUGUUCUUGUUCAAGUCCCUCUAGAUACGGACGGGCCGCUCUCAGCUCUCCCCACAGCCUUCCCUUCUCCGUGCUGCACAGCCCAGCUCUCAGCCUGUCCUCGCAGGGAGGUGUUCCAUCCCUCAGAUCAUUU